rnacentral:rRNA from 1 species
UACGGAGGGGGCUAGCGUUGCUCGGAAUCACUGGGCGUAAAGGGUGCGUAGGCGGGUUUUUAAGUCAGAGGUGAAAUCCUGGAGCUCAACUCCAGAACUGCCUCUGAUACUGGGGAUCUUGAGUCCGGAAGAGGUAAGUGGAACUGCGAGUGUAGAGGUGAAAUUCGUAGAUAUUCGCAAGAACACCAGUGGCGAAGGCGGCUUACUGGUCCGGUACUGACGCUGAGGUGCGAAAGCGUGGGGAGCAAACAGGG